CAUCAGCUGGAUCACACUGGAACAAGGACUGCUGGAUCAAUGUUGGAUUGUGGACUGACACCCCAUCUGAUGGAUUGACACUUAACCCUGGACCAACAUCCCAUCUGCUGGAUCAACACUGGAACCAGGACUGAUGAUCUCCCAGGAGGGAGCAGCUCACUGGAUCUCUCUCUCUCUCUUUUACAGGAAAGGACAACAGGGACAGACAAGGAGUGGAUAGUGGAGACAGACAAUGAGAGGAUGAUAGAGAUGGACAAGGAAAGGAUGAUGGAUUUGGACAUGGAGAAGAAAAUGGAGGUGGACAAUGAGGAAAUGAUGGAGAUGGACAAAAAGAGAAUGAUGCAGAUGGACAAGUAGAGGACAAUGGAGAUGGACACAGAGCAGGGAACUCCAACUCGCAACCCACCCAACACCAAUGGCUGGGCCUGCAGAGGAGGCAAAGUGGACAUCCCAUUGGCCAGAGCUGGGCAGCUGGAUCAACACGGAAACCAGGAUUAACAUCCCCACUGCUGGGUCAACAUGCAACCAGGACUGAUGAUCUCCCAGGAGGGAGCAGCUCACUGGAUCUCUCUCUCUCUCUUUUACAGGACAGGACAACAAAGGUGGACAAGGAGUGGAUAACAGAGACAGACAACGAGAAGAUGACAGAGGUGGACCAGGAAAGGUCAUGGAGUUGGACAUGGAGAAGAAAAUGGAGCUGGGCAAUGCAGAAACAAUUAAUACGGACAAGGCCUGGGGCUGCCCCGGGCCGGGUCCAGGUGGUGCCAGUGUUGGUGGGGUGCUGGGUGUGGCCCUUUGUGACACAGGGACCCUUUGUGAUGUGGGACAUGGUGGUGCCCAGAGACCCCUGUGACAUCAGAGAGCCCCCCCUGCCCCGGGGGGAUCCAAGGACACAGAGCUCAGCCCAGCCCAGAGAGCUGCUCUGCCAGGAGGGAGCAGCUCACUGCAUCCCUGUGUCUGUGCAGCACAGGGCAACCCAGAUGGACAACGAGGGGAUGGCACAGAUGGACAAGGAGAAGGGGAAACUCAAUCCCAGCCCACCUGGGCCUACAGCUGGGCCUGCAGAGGAGGCCAAGUGGAUGUGCCAUGGGCCAGAGCUGGGCAGCUGGAUCAACACAGAAACAGGAUUAACAUCCCAUCAGCUGGAUCGACUUUGGAACAAGGACUGCUGGAUCGAUGUUGGAUUGUGGACUGACACCCCAUCUGAUGGAUUGACACUGAACCCUGGACCAACAUCCCAUCUGCUGGGUUGACACUGCAACCAGGACUGAUGAUCUCCCAGGAGGGAGCAGCUCAUUGGAUCUCUCUCUCUCUCUCUUUUACAGGACAGGACAACAGGGACAGACAAGGAGUGGAUAGUGGAGACAGACAAUGAGAGGAUGAUAGAGAUGGACAAGGAAAGGAUGAUGGAUUUGGACAUGGAGAGGAAAAUGGAGGUGGACAAUGUGGACACGACUGAUAUGAACAAAAAGAGGAUGACAGAGAGGGACAAGGAGGCGAUGAUGGAGAUGGAUACAGAGCAGGGGAACCCCAACUCCCAACCUGCCCAAUGCCACUGGCCAAGCCUGCAGAGGAGGCCAAGUGGACGUGCCAUGGGCCAGAGCUGGGCAGCUGGAUCAACACAGAAACCAGGAUUAACAUCCCAUCAGUUGGAUUGACAUUGGAUUGUGGACUGACAUCCCAUCACUGGAUGGACACUGGACCCAGGACUGCACAGGGCAACCCAGAUGGACAACAAGGGGAUGGCACAGAUGGAUGAGGAGAAGGGGAACCUCAACUGCCAACCCACCUGGGCCUACAGCCUGGCCUGCAGAGGAGGCCAAGUGGACGUGCCAUGGGCCAGAGCUGGGCAGCUGGAUCAACACAGAAACAGGAUUAACAUCCUAUCAGCUGGAUCGACUCUGGAACAAGGACUGCUGGAUCAAUGUUGGAUUGUGGACUGACACCCCAUCUGAUGGAUUGACACUGAACCCUGGACCAACAUCCCAUCUGCUGGAUCACACUGGAACCAGGACUGAUGUUCUCCCAGGAGGGAGCAGCUCACUGGAUCUCUCUCUCUCUCUUUUACAGGACAGGACAACAGGGGUAGACAAGGAGUGGAUAGUGGAGACAGACAAUGAGCGGAUGACAGAGAUGGACAAGGAAAGGAUGAUGGAUUUGGACAUGGAGAGGACAAUGGAGGUGGACAAUGUGGACACGACUGAUAUGGACAAAAAGAGGGUGACAGAGAGGGACAAGGAGACGAUGAUGGAGAUGGAUACAGAGCAGGGGAACCCCAACUCCCAACCUGCCCAAUGCCACUGGCCAAGCCUGCAGAGGAGGCCAAGUGGACGUGCCAUGGGCCAGAGCUGGGCAGCUGGAUCAACACAGAAACCAGGAUUAACAUCCCAUCAGUUGGAUUGACAUUGGAUUGUGGACUGACAUCCCAUCAUUGGAUGGACACUGGACCCAGGACUGCACAGGGCAACCCAGAUGGACAAGGAGAGGAUGGCACAGAUGGAUGAGGAGAAGGGGAACCUCAACUGCCAACCCACCUGGGCCUACAGCCUGGCCUGCAGAGGAGGCCAAGUGGACGUGCCAUGGGCCAGAGCUGGGCAGCUGUAUCAACACAGAAACCAGGAUUAACACCCUAUCAGCUGGAUCGACUCUGGAACAAGGACUGCUGGAUCGAUGUUGGAUUGGGGACUGACACCCCAUCUGAUGGAUUGACACUGAACCCUGGACCAACAUCCCAUCUGCUGGAUCACACUGGAACCAGGACUGAUGUUCUCCCAGGAGGGAGCAGCUCACUGGAUCUCUCUCUCUCUCUUUUACAGGACAGGACAACAGGGACAGACAAGGAGUGGAUAAUGGAGACAGACAAUGAGCGGAUGAUAGAGAUGGAAAAGGAAAGGAUGAUGGAUUUGGACAUGGAGAGGAAAAUAGAGGUGGACAAUGAGGACCUGAUGGAGAUGGACAAAAAGAGAAUGAUGCAGAUGGACAAGUAGAGGACAAUGGAGAUGGACACAGAGCAGGGGAACCCCAACUCCCAACCCACCCAACACCAAUGGCUGGGCCUGCAGAGGAGGACAAGUGGACAUCCCAUUGGCCAGAGCUGGGCAGCUGGAUCAACACAGAAACCAGGAUUAACAUCCCCACUGCUGGGUUGACACUGGAACCAGGACUGAUGAUCUCCCAGGAGGGAGCAGCUCACUGGAUCUCUCUCUCUCUCUUUUACAGGACAGGACACAGAGACAGACAAGGAGUGGAUAAUGGAAACACAAUGAGAGGAGGAUGGAGAUUGACAUGGAGAGGACAAGGGAGAUGGACAAUGAGGACGUGAUGGAGAUGGACAGAGAGAGGACACCUGAGAUAGACAACAAGAUGACAAUGGAGAUGGACAUGGAUGCAAAGAAAAUUAAAAAUUGGAAGAACUACCAGCAAUUAACAGAUGACAAUGGAGCCAUCUGGCCAGAGCUGGGCAGCUGCAUCAACACAAAAACCAGGAUUAACACCCCAUCUGAUGGGUCAACACUGGAACCAGGACUGAUGUUCUCCCAGGAGGGAGCAGCUCACUGGAUCUCUCUCUCUCUCUUUUACAGGACAGGACACAGAGACAGACAAGGAGUGGAUAACGGAGAUGGACAAGGAGAGGAGGAUGGAGAUGGACAAGGAAAGGAUGAUGGAUUUGGACAUGGAGAGGACAAUGGAGGUGAACAAGGAGGACAUGAUGGAUAUGGACAAAAAGAGGAUGACGCAGAUGGACAAGUAGAGGACGAUGGAGAUGGACAUGGAGCAAGGGAAACCCAACUCCCAACCCACCCAACACCAAUGGCUGGGCCUGCAGAGGAGGACAAGUGGACGUUCCAUCACCCAGAGUGGUGCAGUUGGAUCAACACAGAAACCAGGAUUAACACCCCAUCAGCUGGAUCACACUGGAACCAGGACUGAUGAUCUCCCAGGAGGGAGGAACUCACUGGAUCUCUCUCUCUCUCUCUUUUGCAGGGCAGGACAACAGAGAUGGACAAGGAGUGGAUAACAAAGACAGACAAUGAGAGGACAACAGAGAUGGACAAGGAGAGGACAGAGGAGAUGGACAAUUAGGACAUGAUGGAGAUGGACAAAGAGAGAAUGACAGAGAUGGACAUUUUGAGUACAAUGGAGAUGGACAUGGAGCAGGGGAACCCCAACUCCCAGCCUGCCCUGGGCCAACAGCGGGGCCUGCAGAGGAGGCCAAGUGGACAUCCCAUUGGCCAGAGCUGGGCAGCUGCAUCAACACAGAAACCAGGACUGACACCCUAUCAGCUGGAUCACACUGCAACCAGGACUGAUGAUCUCCCAGGAGGGAGCAGCUCACGGGAUCUCUCUCUCUCUUUUGCAGGGCAGGACGACAGAGAUGGACAAGGAGAGGAUAACAGAGACAAAGAAUGAGAGGACGGAGCGGACAGACAAGGAAAGGAUGAUGGAGUUGGACAUGGAGAGGACAAGGGAGAUGGACAAUGAGGAUGCAAUGGAGAUGGACAGAGAGAGGACACAGGAGAUAGACGAGAAGAUGACAAUGGAGAUGGACAUGGAUGCAAAGAAAAUUAAAAAUUGGAAGGACUACCAGCAAUUAACAGAUGACAAUGGAGCCAUCUGGCCAGAGCUGGGCAGCUGCAUCAACACAAAAACCAGGAUUAACAUCCCAUCUGAUGGGUCAACACUAGAAACAGGACUGAUGUUCUCCCAGAAGGAAGGAGCUCACUGGAUCUCUCUCUCUCUCUUUUACAGGACAGGACACAGAGACAGACAAGGAGUGGAUAAUGGAGAUGGACAAGGAGAGGAGGAUGGAGAUGGACAUGGAGAGGACAAGGGAGAUGGACAAUGAGGACAUGAUGGAGAUGGACAAAGAGAGGACACAGGAGAUAGAUGAGAAGAUGACAAUGGAGAUGGGCAUGGAACAGGACAUGGAGCCAUCUGGCCAGAGCUGGGCAGCUGCAUCAACACAAAAACCACGAUCAACAUCCCGUUAGAGGGGUGGAACCAGGACUGAUGAUCUCCCAGGAGGGAGCAGCUCACUGGAUCUCUCUCUCUCUCUCUUUUGCAGGACAGGACACAAAGACAGACAAGGAGUGGAUAAGAUAAGAGAGAUUGACAAGGAGAGGAUGGAGGAGAUGGACAAGGAGUGGAUAACAGAGACAGACAACGAGAGGAUGACAGAGAUGGACAAUGAGAGGACGGAGGAAUAAUAUCCUGUCUUCUGGAUUAACACUGGAACCAAGACUGCUGGAUUGAUGUUGGAUUGUGGACUGACAUCCCACCUGUUGGAUCAACAUUGAAACCAAGACUGAUGAUCUCCCAGGAGGGAGAAGCUCACUGGAUCUCUUUCUCUCUUUUGCAGGACAGGACACAGAGACAGACAAGGAGUGGAUGAUGGAGAUAGACAAGAGGAUGAAGGGGACAGACAAGGAAAGGAUGAUGGAGUUAGACAAGAGGAUGGAGGGGACAGACAAGGAAAGGAUGAUGGAGUUAGACAUGGAGAGGAUAAGGGAGAUGGACAAUGAGGACAUGAUGGAGAUGGACAAAGAGAGGACACAGGAGAUAGAUGAGAAGAUGACAAUGGAGAUGGACAUGGAACAGGACAUGGAGCCAUCCAGCCAGAGCUGGGCAGCUGCAUCAACAAAAAAACCAGGAUUAACACCCCAUCUGCUGGGUCAACACUGGAACCAGGACUCAUGAUCUCCCAGGACAGAGCAGCUCACGGGAUCUCUCUCUCUCUCUUUUACAGGACAGGACACAGAGACAGACAAGGAGAGGAUAAUGGAGAUGGACAAGGAGAGGAGACAGAGAUGGACAUGGAGAGGACAAUGGAGGUGAACAAGGAGGACAUGAUGGAGAUGGACAAAAAGAGGAUGACGCAGACGGACAAGUAGAGGACGAUGGAGAUGGACAUGGAGCAAGGGAAACCCAACUCCCAACCCACCCAACACCAAUGGCUGGGCCUGCAGAGGAGGACAAGUGGACAUCCCAUCACCCAGAGUGGUGCAGUUGGAUCAACACAGAAACCAGGAUUAACACCUAUCAGCUG